rnacentral:misc_RNA from 1 species
UGGAACUGGUGUGGUAUCUUCA